UGUAGCAAGGUUAACCGUAUAGGGGAGCCGAAGGGAAACCGAGUCUUAACCGGGCGUUAAGUUGCAGGGUAUAGACCCGAAACCCGGUGAUCUAGCCAUGGGCAGGUUGAAGGUUGGGUAACACUAACUGGAGGACCGAACCGACUAAUGUUGAAAAAUUAGCGGAUGACCUGUGGCUGGGGGUGAAAGGCCAAUCAAACCGGGAGAUAGCUGGUUCUCCCCGAAAGCUAUUUAGGUAGCGCCUCGUGAAUUCAUCUCCGGGGGUAGAGCACUGUUUCGGCUAGGGGGCCAUCCCGGCUUACCAACCCGAUGCAAACUGCGAAUACCGGAGAAUGUUAUCACGGGAGACACACGGCGGGUGCUAACGUCCGUCGUGAAGAGGGAAACAACCCAGACCGCCAGCUAAGGUCCCAAAGUCAUGGUUAAGUGGGAAACGAUGUGGGAAGGCCCAGACAGCCAGGAUGUUGGCUUAGAAGCAGCCAUCAUUUAAAGAAAGCGUAAUAGCUCACUGGUCGAGUCGGCCUGCGCGGAAGAUGUAACGGGGCUAAACCAUGCACCGAAGCUGCGGCAGCGACGCUGAUGCGUUGUUGGGUAGGGGAGCGUUCUGUAAGCCUGCGAAGGUGGCCUGUGAGGGUUGCUGGAGGUAUCAGAAGUGCGAAUGCUGACAUAAGUAACGAUAAAGCGGGUGAAAAGCCCGCUCGCCGGAAGACCAAGGGUUCCUGUCCAACGUUAAUCGGGGCAGGGUGAGUCGACCCCUAAGGCGAGGCCGAAAGGCGUAGUCGAUGGGAAACGGGUUAAUAUUCCCGUACUUGGUGUUACUGCGAAGGGGGGACGGAGAAGGCUAUGUUGGCCGGGCGACGGUUGUCCCGGUUUAAGCGUGUAGGUGUGUGUUCCAGGUAAAUCCGGUUCACUUUAACACUGAGGCGUGACGACGAGGCACUACGGUGCUGAAGCAACAAAUGCCCUGCUUCCAGGAAAAGCCUCUAAGCAUCAGGUAACAUCAAAUCGUACCCCAAACCGACACAGGUGGUCAGGUAGAGAAUACCAAGGCGCUUGAGAGAACUCGGGUGAAGGAACUAGGCAAAAUGGUGCCGUAACUUCGGGAGAAGGCACGCUGACACGUAGGUGAAGUGAUUUACUCAUGGAGCUGAAGUCAGUCGAAGAUACCAGCUGGCUGCAACUGUUUAUUAAAAACACAGCACUGUGCAAACACGAAAGUGGACGUAUACGGUGUGACGCCUGCCCGGUGCCGGAAGGUUAAUUGAUGGGGUCAGCGCAAGCGAAGCUCCUGAUCGAAGCCCCGGUAAACGGCGGCCGUAACUAUAACGGUCCUAAGGUAGCGAAAUUCCUUGUCGGGUAAGUUCCGACCUGCACGAAUGGCGUAAUGAUGGCCAGGCUGUCUCCACCCGAGACUCAGUGAAAUUGAACUCGCUGUGAAGAUGCAGUGUACCCGCGGCAAGACGGAAAGACCCCGUGAACCUUUACUAUAGCUUGACACUGAACAUUGAGCCUUGAUGUGUAG
rnacentral:rRNA from 1 species